UAAGGAAUAUUGGUCAAUUGACGAAAGUCUGAACCAGCCAUGCCGCGUGAAGGAUGACGGCCCUCUGGGUUGUAAACUUCUUUUAUCAGGGACGAAAAAAGAUCAUUUCUGAUCACUUGACGGUACCAGAGGAAUAAGCACCGGCUAACUCCGUGCCAGCAGCCGCGGUAAUACGAAGGGUGCAAGCGUUAUCCGGAAUUACUGGGUGUAAAGAGUUCGUAGGUGGGUUUGUAAGUCAGUGGUGAAAUCUUCGGGCUUAACUCGGAGACUGCAAUUGAUACUAUAAGUCUAGAGUCAUCUGGAGGUGAGCGGAAUAUGUCAUGUAGCGGUGAAAUGCUUAGAUAUGAGAUAGAACACCGAUGGCGAAGGCAGGUCACUACGGAUGUAUUGACACUGAGGCGCGAAAGUGUGGGGAUCAAACA
rnacentral:rRNA from 1 species